GAUGAACGCUGGCGGCGUGCCUAAUACAUGCAAGUCGAGCGAACCACUUCGGUGGUGAGCGGCGAACGGGUGAGUAACACGUAGGUGAUCUGCCCAUCAGACGGGGACAACGAUUGGAAACGAUCGCUAAUACCGGAUAGGACGAAAGUUUAAAGGUGCUUCUGGCACCGCUGAUGGAUGAGCCUGCGGCGCAUUAGCUAGUUGGUAGGGUAAAGGCCUACCAAGGCGACGAUGCGUAGCCGACCUGAGAGGGUGAACGGCCACACUGGGACUGGGACACAGCCCAGACUCCUACGGGAGGCAGCAGUAGGGAAUCUUCGGCAAUGGGCGAAAGCCUGACCGAGCAACGCCGCGUGAAUGAUGAAGGCCUUCGGGUUGUAAAAUUCUGUUAUAAGGGAAGAACGACUUUAGUAGGAAAUGGCUAGAGUGUGACGGUACCUUAUGAGAAAGCCACGGCUAACUACGUGCCAGCAGCCGCGGUAA
rnacentral:rRNA from 1 species